UCUGAAUCUGCCAACAUCCAAGGCCACAUGAACACAAAUGCGCAGAGUCUCCUCUGCGAUCGGUAGCUAAGGAUGUUAGGCCAUGAUUGGACUAGGAUGGGAGAUGAACUGAGAACUAUGGAUUCUGUAGGU
ensembl:rRNA 5S_rRNA 5S ribosomal RNA